rnacentral:rRNA from 1 species
GAGUAACGCGUGGGUGACCUGCCCCAUACCGGGGGAUAACAGCUGGAAACGGCUGCUAAUACCGCAUAAGCGCACAGAGCUGCAUGGCUCGGUGUGAAAAACUCCGGUGGUAUGGGAUGGGCCCGCGUCUGAUUAGGCAGUUGGCGGGGUAACGGCCCACCAAACCGACGAUCAGUAGCCGGCCUGAGAGGGCGACCGGCCACAUUGGGACUGAGACACGGCCCAAACUCCUACGGGAGGCAGCAGUGGGGAAUAUUGCACAAUGGGGGAAACCCUGAUGCAGCGACGCCGCGUGAGCGAAGAAGUAUUUCGGUAUGUAAAGCUCUAUCAGCAGGGAAGAAAAUGACGGUACCUGACUAAGAAGCACCGGCUAAAUACGUGCCAGCAGCCGCGGUAAUACGUAUGGUGCAAGCGUUAUCCGGAUUUACUGGGUGUAAAGGGAGCGUAGACGGCUGUGUAAGUCUGAAGUGAAAGCCCGGGGCUCAACCCCGGGACUGCUUUGGAAACUAUGCAGCUAGAGUGUCGGAGAGGUAAGUGGAAUUCCCAGUGUAGCGGUGAAAUGCGUAGAUAUUGGGAGGAACACCAGUGGCGAAGGCGGCUUACUGGACGAUGACUGACGUUGAGGCUCGAAAGCGUGGGGAGCAAACAGGAUUAGAUACCCUG